rnacentral:rRNA from 1 species
UACGUAGGGGGCAAGCGUUAUCCGGAUUUACUGGGUGUAAAGGGGGCGCAGACGGCGAUGCAAGCCAGGAGUGAAAGCCCGGGGCCCAACCCCGGGACUGCUCUUGGAACUGCGUGGCUGGAGUGCAGGAGGGGCAGGCGGAAUUCCUGGUGUAGCGGUGAAAUGCAUAGAUAUCAGGAGGAACACCGGUGGCGAAGGCGGCCUGCUGGACUGCAACUGACGUUGAGGCCCGAAAGCGUGGGGAGCAAACAGG